rnacentral:lncRNA from 1 species
CACUGCCACCCGUGCCCCGUGUGCUUCUGUCCCCAUCUCCGACACUGCCACCUGAGCCCCGUGUGCCUGUGCCUCGUGUCCCUGUGUCCCUUGUUCUUGUAUCCCUGUCUCUGCCAUCAAGUGUCCGUGUGCCUGUGUCCCUGUGUCAUGCCAUCGCCGCCUGUGUCCUCCUGUCCCUGUUCCUCAUGUCCUUGGGGCCCUUUCCUUUGUGUCCUUUGGCCUCUGUCCCCUGACUCCUGGGCCCAUAUCCUUUCAUGUCCUCAUUCACUUUUCCCCUCUGCCCUGUUCCAUAUGUUCUUGUCCCCCAUGUCCUCAUGUCCCUGUACCCCAUGUUCUCCUGCUGCUGUCCCUUGUGUCUUCAUACAACCAUUCCUUGUGUCUCCAUGCCGCCAGCCCCUGUGUCCCCGUGCCACUGGCAUCCAUGGCUUCUUGCCCCUGUCCCCCACAUCUGGAUACCAUUGUGCCCUGUGUCAUCAUGUCCCUGGCCUCAGUGUUCUACUGCUCCCUCUGCCCUACCACCCUCUCUGCUGUGCCCUCUCUUCCUCCCAUGUCCGACCAUGCCCCCCAUGUGUUCCCUGCCCCUCUAUGUUCCCAUGUCCUCCAUUCUGCCUGCUCCCUCAUGUCCACCCCUGUCCCACCAUUCCCAGCUGCACUGCCCAGCUCCAGCCCCUUGUCCCCAAAGGCCACAGGGCAGCUGCCCCAUGGAUGUGCCCAGGUCCAGCCCAGGGUGGGCCCAGCCCCAGCUGGUGAGAAAUGGGGGCUCAGUCGGCUGUGGUGAGCCCCAAGUGGCUGCAGCCCCCCAGUCCAAGCCAGUGCCAGGCCAGGGUGUGAGGGGCACCCAGGCAUGGGGGACCAUGGAGGGCACAGGCUGUGGCUCCAAAGGCAUGGGUGACCAAAAUGUUGGGCAGUGGCUCUGGGAGCAGGGACUCCACAGGGUCCCCAUUACCUGGGGGACCUGGAGUCAUCACCUGGGGGACCUAUCCUUGCUGGCUGUGGUGUCCCCAGCAGAGGACAGUAGUGGCACCAGGCAGGGUCUGGCAGCAGAGAUUCUCUGUACAGCUGGACACCAAAACCACCCCAAAGGCUCAGCACACCCUGG